CCUACGGGAGGCAGCAGUGAGGAAUAUUGGUCAAUGGGCGCGAGCCUGAACCAGCCAAGUCGCGUGAGGGAAGACGGUCCUAUGGAUUGUAAACCUCUUUUGUCGGGGAGCAAAAGACGCCACGCGUGGCGUUCCGAGAGUACCCGAAGAAAAAGCAUCGGCUAACUCCGUGCCAGCAGCCGCGGUAAUACGGAGGAUGCGAGCGUUAUCCGGAUUUAUUGGGUUUAAAGGGUGCGUAGGCGGAGUGUCAAGUCAGCGGUAAAAUUUCGGGGCUCAACCCCGUCGUGCCGUUGAAACUGACGCCCUUGAGUGAGUGAGAAGUAAGCGGAAUGCGUGGUGUAGCGGUGAAAUGCUUAGAGAUCAUACAGAACACCGAUUGCGAAGGCAGCUUACCAAGCUACUUCUGACGUUGAGGCACGAAAGCGUGGGGAGCAAACAGGAUUAGAUACCCGAGUAGUC
rnacentral:rRNA from 1 species